GGGCGUUAAGUUGCAGGGUAUAGACCCGAAACCCGGUGAUCUAGCCAUGGGCAGGUUGAAGGUUGGGUAACACUAACUGGAGGACCGAACCGACUAAUGUUGAAAAAUUAGCGGAUGACCUGUGGCUGGGGGUGAAAGGCCAAUCAAACCGGGAGAUAGCUGGUUCUCCCCGAAAGCUAUUUAGGUAGCGCCUCGUGAAUUCAUCUCCGGGGGUAGAGCACUGUUUCGGCUAGGGGGCCAUCCCGGCUUACCAACCCGAUGCAAACUGCGAAUACCGGAGAAUGUUAUCACGGGAGACACACGGCGGGUGCUAACGUCCGUCGUGAAGAGGGAAACAACCCAGACCGCCAGCUAAGGUCCCAAAGUCAUGGUUAAGUGGGAAACGAUGUGGGAAGGCCCAGACAGCCAGGAUGUUGGCUUAGAAGCAGCCAUCAUUUAAAGAAAGCGUAAUAGCUCACUGGUCGAGUCGGCCUGCGCGGAAGAUGUAACGGGGCUAAACCAUGCACCGAAGCUGCGGCAGCG
rnacentral:rRNA from 3 species